UGGCAUAUGAGUUUUUUUUUUUUUCUGAGAUGAAGUCUUGUUUUGUUGCCCAGGCUGGAGUGCAAUGGCGCGAUCUCAGCUCACUACAACCUCCGCCUCCUGGAUUCAAGUGAUUCUCCCACCUCAGCCUCCAAGUAGCUGAGGCAGGAGAAUGGCGUGAACCCGGGAGGCGGAGCUUGCAGUGAGCCGAGAUCGCGCCACUGCACUCCAGCCUGGGCGACAGAGUGACACUCCGUCUCAAAAAAUAAAAAUAAAAAAAAUAAAUAUCAUGGGAUAAACCCAUCCAUAAAUCUGUUGACUUCUGACAAAGGUGCUAAGGCCUUUGGAUUCAGAGGGAAAGGAAAGUCUUUUCAACAAGCAGCGCGGGAAUCAUGAGGGCCACGUGCAGACGGGGCAGGGACCCAUCCCCCUCCUCACACCACACACCAUGAAUGCAGGAGAUCACACACCUUGGCCCAGAGCCAAGGCCAUAAAGCAUGCAGAGGAGGAUGCAGGAGAAAAUCUCGUGACCCUGCGCUCCUCAAGAAUUCUUAUGAAAUUACUUACCAGGUCACACAGAAAUACCACCAUUGCUACUGAAAGCGUUUCCUGUUUAUAUACUGCUUUGUAGUUUACAGACUGACGUCCCACACCAUUCACGGUGUAAUCUACUCCUCACCCUGCGACCGUGUCCAGGGUGAGAUGAGAACAGUGAGGCUGAGAAGCACAAAAUUCUCCCAGCUGGGGGUUCAAGAUCCCAGGGAGCCCCACGUACCAUGGUGUGAAUCUAGAAUCCCGUCGACAUAGGAGGAGGCCCCACCUCUGAACCAUGCCAGGGCUUUCUACCUUUGUCAGGAAAUUUACGUUAGGGUUUGCACAACGCCCAACACAUUCCUUCAGAUUCCAGGUCUCUUCCUCAUAGCCAGUCCUCUUGUGGGCCUGGAACUCUUUGGCAAGUAGGAAGGCCUGGGGAGCGGGAGGAUUUCCCGGAAGAGGCCGGAGCCCUGGGCGCUGCGACACUCGUGGGUCCCCUUUCGGGCACCCUUUGGCCCAGUUGUUUCCCCACUGACCCCGACCUCAAUGCCCC
rnacentral:lncRNA from 10 species